AAAAAAAACAAAUGUGGGUUUCCAUUUCAACGUUGACUGUCCGUCUUAUAUGAUUUAUUUUAUAAUUAGUAUUUUUAUUGUUGUUAGAUGAUAAAACAUGAUUAAUAUUUUAUGCGUGGCUUGUCUUUUUAAUUUUUUUCAAAUAAGACGGACGGUCAAACGUUGGACACAAAAAUUAAGGUUUGUUUCUGAC
rfam:Oryza sativa (indica cultivar-group) chromosome 3, whole genome shotgun sequence.